rnacentral:lncRNA from 10 species
ACCCUGCCCCCGCCACCGUGAGCCAGAGAAAGCAGCAGCUGAGGCUAUAAAUAGGUCCUUUGCUGCUCUGGUAAACAUGGUUUGCUCAGAGUCAUGAUCCUGGUGCUGAGAAGCUGCUGGCCCAACCCCCAGCCCAGGGUGAGGGCCAGCCCCUGCCCCUGCCGAUACCCUUUGGUUGGUCAGCAGGCCCUCAGCUGAGGCCACCCCCGAACCCCAGCAUCUGCAUCCACCUUCAUCUCUAGAGCGAGCAUCUUGGGUUGGCAAGGUCCAGGGUGCGCAAAAAGGUCAGUCAUGGAGAUGGGCAGGGCUGGGAGGAAGACAAGGUGCCUCCAGCCUCUCUGAUGUUGGCUGGAGGGCAGGAGCCACCAUUGGCCCACGUGGAGGAGAGAGGGCUGACCUCAGCACAGGAGGUAAGGGGAGGUCAAGGCAGAGUUACUGAGAAGGUGAGCAGCUCUUCCCAGCAUCUGCAGUAACAGCAAUAACUCUGUACAUAUGCACAGAGUUUCACGGUGUUUAAAUCACAUUCAUAUCCACCUUCACCCAGGGGAUCAUACUUCCCAGCCCACCCAAUAAUUAGUAAACUUGGUUUGGACAAUAAAUGAAAUUAUCACAGUUGAAUGCCCCUGAGAUGGGUGGUCUUAUCUCUGUUUUACAGAUGAGGAAUUUAAGGCUUAACAAAGUAAUCUACUGGCUCAAGGUCACAGUUUGUGAGAGGCAGAGCCAGGACCCCACAUAGAUGGUGUGCUUUGGGCCAAGAAUGGUGGCUCAUGCCUGUAAUCCUAGCACUUUGGGAGGCCAAGACAGGAGGAUUGCUUGAGCCU